UACGGAGGGGGCUAGCGUUGUUCGGAAUUACUGGGCGUAAAGCGCACGUAGGCGGCUUUGCAAGUUAGAGGUGAAAGCCCGGGGCUCAACUCCGGAAUUGCCUUUAAAACUGCAUCGCUAGAAUUGUGGAGAGGUAAGUGGAAUUCCGAGUGUAGAGGUGAAAUUCGUAGAUAUUCGGAAGGAACACCAGUGGCGAAGGCGACUUACUGGACACAUAUUGACGCUGAGGUGCGAAAGCGUGGGGAGCAAACAGG
rnacentral:rRNA from 1 species